rnacentral:rRNA from 1 species
UACGGGGGGGCAAGCGUUGUUCGGAAUUACUGGGCGUAAAGGGCUCGUAGGCGGCCAACUAAGUCAGACGUGAAAUCCCUCAGCUUAACUGGGGAACUGCGUCUGAUACUGGAUGGCUUGAGAUUGGGAGAGGGAUGCGGAAUUCCAGGUGUAGCGGUGAAAUGCGUAGAUAUCUGGAGGAACACCGGUGGCGAAGGCGGCAUCCUGGACCAACACUGACGCUGAGGAGCGAAAGCCAGGGGAGCAACGGG